GUUUGUUAAACAAAUAUUUGAAACAAGUGCAAUAACACAAUGUGCAAUUGAAAUGUGACUCUUGAUAUACUUUGUUCUACAUCAAAGGUAGUUUUGAGUGUAUGAAGAACGGUACCAGCUUCACGAACUUAAUUUGUAAAGCACAUUAACUUUUCAUCAGAGAUGAUCCCGUAGUUCUCGAGAAUCGGAAAUAUGUGUAGCUCGUGGGUUUACCAUUAAACCAACAUUAUUUUGUUGUGACCCAAUUGUAACUGAUUUUGAUGUGCUUUCUUUAACGAUACUGAGCUCAACCAGGUAGGACAAGCGCUAACUAUAACGGAAACAUGUAUAGGGAACUGUGAACGAAAUAGCUAGCUGUAAUCUGAAUAGUGAACAUAGAGAUUGUGUGUGGGAAAUGAGCAUCGGCAGUCAGGACCCGUUUCAGCCCAGACUAUACACGAAAUCCUCUUAGGGUACAGACUCCAGACCAACAGACAAUCGUCAACACCUAACUUACGGAUAUAGUUGACCGUUUAGCAAAAGAUUUAACAGUCAGAUGCCAAGUCUUACAACCGUGAUUCCGGGUAAUAGUUUAUACUACCUGAUAACAUAAUGAACAAAGUGAUGUCUGAUUUUAGAAUUGUUAAAGAUAAUCAAGAUAUAAAUAUUUAUAUUAUUUAAAUCAAGAUACGCGAACGAUCAUGAUGAGCAUUUUGCUUGGGCAACUGCAAUGACGACAUGCAUGAAGUACUGACACGCAGUUAACUUCACACCAGGGGCACAGUUCUGACAAGCCUUAUAUCAGAAUUAACCUUUUUGGUCAAUGAGAAAUACAUGAUUGGGCAUAUAUAUCUGCAAAAUCUCAUGGAUAUCACUACAAUUUAAUUUAAUCAUUUUUGUACAUUCGCAGCCAGUUAUAAUCAUUUCAGUUAAUUUUGAAUUUGGUCAAUAAAUAUGUCAUAAUAUCCCACAAAGUAAAAUUUGAUGACAACAUCAUUGCAGAAAAAAACAAAACAUGUUACUUUGUUUAGAAAUAUAUGCUUUAGCAGUUCUAUAUUCACAUUCGCGAAUCCUUAGAGCCCAACAUCCACUAAUUCGGAUUAUUGAUAUUAUAUGGCUGUGUUCAUAGAAUUAUUGUAGAAUCUAAUGUAUUUACAUCUAUAAUUUGUUAAAUUCAACACGCUUUUUUGUUUAGAUGGAAUGCUAAUUUUGUGUUAUAUAAUUACAAUUUGUUAAAGCUAAAAUUAUGUUUAAUCACCUAAACUUGCUGAAACGUCAAUGCCAAGGCACCACCACCACUUACCUCUAUUACCAAGACACUGUUGGUGUCAAAUUAUUGAAUAUUGAAAGCUUUUUAUCAUUACCAACAGGAAGCUUGGUUCAAUCAAUAUUACGUACUGAAUUUAACCCUACAUGUACAUAAAAAUAAAUAUGCUAAAUGUGCCAAAUAAUAUAGAAUAUAGUAUUUUAUUGCAGGGAAUUUUUAGCAUAAUCAAAAUCAUAUAAAUGUAUAUUAUCAUGUAAAAUCAAAAGUUCAAGUUUAUUUUAAUAAUAUAUAUUAAAGUAUUUUCAAAUGUA